GGAAGUCAUAAGUGAGAGAGUGAGAGGGACAGAAGCACAUUAAGCAAACGUCCAAGAUUUAUAUUAUUAUUAUUAUUAUUAUUAUUAUUAUUAUUAUUAUUAUUAUUAUUAUUGUGAAAGUGAAUAUUGUCAAACGAAAACAAGAAAAACAAGACCCAUUUUAACAACAACAACAACAACAACAACAACAACAACUGUGAUUAUUGUGAACUGCGAAGAAAAACAGAAAAAAAAAUCCAAUUAUUAUUAUUAUUAUUAUUAUUAUUGAAUGUGAGAUAAGGUGUUCCAAUAUGGCGUAUUUCCUACUUCAUCUCCUAUUCAUCUGCUUAUUAACAUCUGCGAGUGAAAUACCACAAGAAACGGUGAAUGGAGACACAGAGAGACUAACAGGAGAUAAAGUGAGAGAUGGAGGAAACCUGGAGAGACUGGAGGGAGAAAAGGAAAUAGUGGAAGGAAAAACAGCAAUCCUAGGCAAUGAAGUGAGUCCGUCGCCAUCUUACCCUGCUCAAAAUACGACUUUUCCUUCUACGUUUCCUCCGGAGCCUGGGAAGGAUGGAGGAAAGAAGGAAGGACGGGAGAGAAGAUUAGCCAACCAUACGAAGGAGGAGGAGAAGGAAAAUGGAGAUAUAGAAGAGAAACUAACGGAAAAUAUGAAGACUGAAGCAUUACAAUCGCCAUACUGGUCUGCUCAAAAUACCUCUUUUCCUCCUCCUACGUUUCCUCCGGGACUUGAGAGAGAUGGAGGCAAGAAGGAAGAAGAGGAGAGAAGAUCCGCCAACCAUACGAAGGAGGAGGAGGAGGUAGAAGAGAAGGGAGAAGAGAAAAACAAAACCCUUGAAAAUCUGAACACAACUGAAGCAUCUAAACCGCCACAUUGGUCAUCCACGCCAGUAAAACCUUCAAAAACUAAGAAAUUUUACUUCUGCGGGACACCGGACGUGGAGGAGGCGAUGAGGGGAGACAGCAACUCGCCAACAAACCACACAAGAAAGCGCAGAUACUUAUUACAAGGCAAGAAAUGGGAUAAAAACUGAACUCACAUGGGCGCUGCGGAAACCAAGCCGCCAUACGUCCCGUCUCGACUCAGGGACAAUACGACAGCAGUUCACAACGGCAUUGCAACUCUGGGAAAAAGUAUCGGCGUUAAAGUUCACUGAAGUACAGAAGGAGGCGAAAAAUAUUGAUAUCUAUGUGGAUUUUAUGAAAGGGACGCACGGAGAUGGAUAUUCGUUCGAUGGGAAAGGGAGAAAAUUGGCGCAUGCGUUUUACCCUGGCGGAGGAAUAGGUGGUGAUGUGCAUUUUGACGAUGAUGACCACUUUGUUCAGCAUCACCUAAGGGAAGAUGGUAAAACUAGUCUUUCUUAUCACAGCAGCGCAUGAACUCGGCCACUCUCUCGGUCUCUCUCACUCUGACGCCCCUAAAGCAUUGAUGGCGCCCUUCUACCAAGACUUCGGGGAUGAAUUUGAGCUGCCCCAGGACGACAGAUAUGCCAUUCAGGUUUUGUACGGCGCCUCGGAGGAAGCCACAAGGUCACCCAUACCCACCCAUGCGCCCAUGACCACACCACGCCCUACCACGACCACCACACGACCUCCCAGACCACGCCCACGCCCAACGACCACCACACGACCUCCCAGACCACGCCCACGCCCAACGACCAGCACACAGCCUCCCAGACCACGCCCACGCCCACCUACACCAAGCACCCGCCCUCCUAGACCGCCCAGACCACGACCAACAACAUCCACAACUACCAUACCGCCACCAACUGAAGUGAUAUGUCCCCCGUCUAAGGCACCCAACCCAAACGAACCUGAUAUUUGUUUUUCUGAUAUAGAUGCGGCUACGGAUUACAGAGGAGAGUUAUUUUUAUUUAAAGGUGAACAUUAUUGGCGUAUGGAUGGGAAGGGAUGGCCAUAUUGGAGGGAGUACCCGGAAAAAAUUGCAAGACGCUUCCCGCCAGUUCAAAAAGUAGACGCGGCUUAUGUAAACACGCAAGGUCAUCUCAUCUUGUUUCAGGGACGGCAGUUUUUCCGCUUAGGUUUUCGCUUACAGAUAGAAAGCCGCGGUCAGUUAUCGGAUUUAAAGAUCAAUGCGACUCAUCUAAACGCCGCAAUGCUAUGGGGCCAUAAUGGGAGAGCCUAUGUCUUCAGCGAGAAUAAAUAUUGGCGGUUAAAUAAAUAUGGUGUUGCUGAUAUUGACUACCCAAGAGACAUUGGUGUUUGGCGCGGGGUACCUCAAAAUAUUUCUGCUGCUUUUACGUUAGGGUACAAAACUUUCUUCUUAUCAGGCCCCAUGUACUGGAGUUUUGAUAAUGCAGCCAUGAGGGCACAGGAGCUGCCAUUGCUGACUGCUGUACACUGGCUGAGUUGCCCUGAAUACACAUAUGAAAAGUUGAUCAAGUGUUAUUCGGGGCAAGAAUGUUUGAGUCUAUCUAAGUCCCCCCUCUUCCUCCUCUUCCUCUUGUGGUUUGUUUUGAACGUGAACUGAUGUAAAUUGAAGAAAAAAUGUAAAAAGAAAAAUUGCGUAAAAGAAAGAAGGAAGGAAAUGGUGAUAAUAAACAAGAAAACAAUGUAAAAUAAAUAGAAGAGAAGUGAUAGGCAUUAUAUUGAAGAAAAGCUAAUUGAAUACAGUUUUGUAAUUAAAUAAACUCGAAAAACGAUGUAUAAAUGGAGAAAAAGUGAUAGAAAUAAUGUUUUUACAAUGAAAUAAACAGGAAAAUCAAAGAAAACGGCAAAUGUCUCGUUUUUCUCCUUUUUUAACGCAAACUAAAGUAAAAUGAAAUGUAAUGAAGAAAACCAAGUAAAAGAAAAUAGAGAAGGAAAAAAAUAUAUAUAAAUGCGAUUUUUGGAAUUAAAUAAACAAGAAAACAAUGAAAAGGGAAGAUAAAAGAAGAAAAAAGGCUUAAUAUAAAAAAAAAUAAUUUUGCUACGAUUUUUAGAAUGAAAUAAAAAAAAUGUAAAAAUAAAAGGGAAAGAAAGAGAAAAUAGGCUUUGAACUAAAAGAAAAAAGAAGAUUAGAUUUUUAAAGAAAUAAAGAAGAAAAACGAGAGAGAGAGAGAGAGAGAGAGAGAGAGAGAGAGAGAGAGAGAGAGAGAGAGAGAGAGAGAGAGAGAGAGAUACCAAACCAAUGACGUACAGAAAGCAAUAAGAGAGAUAAAUGAAUAAACAGGGGAAUUAAGAGAUUAGAAAGACAGGGAUAUCAAAAGUAAUAAUAAUAGCAGAGAUAAGGAGAAAGAUUAAAAGGGUGACAAGAUAAGAUAAGACUAGUGCUCGAAGAAAUAAAGGAAUAAAGGAAGGAAAAAGAAAGAGAGAGAGAAAGAAAGAGAGAGAAAGAAAGAGAGAAAGAAAGAAGAGAUUUUAGAAGAUAAGGAAUAAAGAUUUGCAAGGAAGAAAGAGAAGAUUUGAAAAGAUAAGGAAUUUAAACAAAGAUUUGAAAGGAAGCAAGGAAAUAAGAGGAAGGAAUUAGAGAAAAUAAGAAAAGAAAGAAAGAGUGAAAGAAAGAUUUGAAAAGUUGAAGAAAACGAAGAUUUGGAAGAAGAGAAAAAGGAAGAAAGAAAGGAAUAAGUUGAAAUGAUGAUAAGAAGAGAUAAGACGAGUGAGAAGAAGAUAGUGGUGAUGAUGAUGGUGAUGAUGAUGAUGAUGAUGAUGUAGCACGUUAUGAAAUUCUGCUAAUAGGUUGCGUUAAGACAGUGAUAUAAUGAAGGUGGCAGUGGUGGUGGUGGUGGUGAUGGUGGUGGUGGUGGUGGUGGUGGAAGGUGCAAGACAAGAUCGCAAGAAGGGAAGAAGCAACAAGGCAGAUAAGAAGGAGGUCAGUGUACCGAAGGAGUUCUCAGAGUGGGACAAAUUCAACAAGCUUUUUCUUCAUCACAUUAGCAAAAAACCUUCGAAACUUAAAGAAGAGGACAUCAAACCUCACCUUUACACACUCCUUAAGACCCUCGAGUUUCUCACGGUGGUUGAUAAAUAUUUAGAUGAAAACCUUGCCAGCGUGAGGUCAGAGGAGGAGGCGAGGCGGGUGUUCACUCUGCUGGAUCUGUUCAGUGCGCAGGAGCCUCACAGACUGCGCUAUUUGAAGCAGAUGAGAGACGCCUUGACAGCACUUUUCAUGACGGAUCCUGAGGCAGCUAAACACACAAUUCCCUCUCACUUCAUUUUGGAUGCCUUUGACAGACACAUACAGGCGAGGCAGCGACGAACCCAGGCUGUGCUGAGACGUGUAAUGGUUGGCAACCCUGACAACCUCAACACACUCGUUCACUACAGGCCAGGGAGGUACCUUGCCCUUGACAGUGUCCUUCGCCUACAUAACAUCCCUAGUCCCUUUCUGGAGGUCAACGAGACUCAAUGGUACCACAUCAAGCAAGCAUCCUCCCCCCACUUGACCCUCAGCAUUGACCUUCUGACCUGGCGCAUGAUCCUUGUCAACCACACCUUCUCCCCCACGGUCUUCAGGUCAGGUUUGAGCGAGAGACGAAAUCCUCACUACAAGAGCGGUACGAGUACGUCCUUAGAAGUGCGGUGCUGUCUCCCUCCGCCUUCCUCUCCUUCCCCUGCCACCAGCACCGCCUCUGCUUCAGCUACAAGGACCCAGUGACGGUCGAGGUGGUAACACUGCAGCGCGGCGAGGUGGCGUUCAUAGGCAAACAAACAGACGGGGUAUUUUUCCUGCGGGACGCCACUGGGAGCAAAAAUUCGGCGUUCCCCAGUGUCUCAGUGCCCAGUGUGACCCCGUGGUAUCCAGGUAAGGACGCCCACUGGAUCCUAACGCCCUUGAAGAGUUAGAAAGCGAAAUUUAGGGAGAAAGAUGAAAUAUGAUUGUGAUACGUAAAGUGAAAGGAAUAAGAUGGAAAAUGAGGAUAAAAAUAGGAAGAGGGAAAAUGAGAGAAGUGGUUAAGAAAUGUGAAGGAAAGGAAGGGAAAUGGAGAGAUUUGUGAUGAUUGGUGAAAUAGAUGAUAAGGAUUAGAUACGGGAUGUGAGUGAAGGAAGAGUGAAAGAUG